ensembl:lncRNA
UUUUUUUUUUUUUUUUUUUUUUGAGAUAGAGUCUUGCUCUGUUGCUCAGGCUAGAGUGCAGUGGUGCCACCUUGGCUCUCUGUAAUCUCCGCCUCCUGGGUUCAAGCAGUUCUCCUGCUUCAGCUUCUCGAUGAGCUGAGAUCGCACUACUGCACUCCAGCCUAAGCAACAGAGUGAAACUCUGUCUCAAAUAAAUAAAUAAAUAAAAAUUUAAAAAGACUCUUUUUGUCACCCAAAUUGAAUUUCCUACAUUAUAUAAAUUAUAAAACGGAAAAAAAAGUAAUCAAAUGAUGCAGUGGACAAAAUAAAGGAUAGUGAUUUUUCACUAACCUCUGUUUCUACUCUUUCGCUUCAUAUUUUCAUGUCACACAGACCCCUAAUCACAUGGAAAGUAAGAAAUCAGAUCUAAAUUUCUCCAAAGAUCCUGAUAUUUGCAAUCAUGAGGAGAAAUUAUUGGGAUAAUUGAAUGUCUCAGUCCCUUGCUAGUUGUUUGAAAAUAUGUAGAUCUAGCUCAUGCAGGGUUCCAAAGAUUAAUUGGUUACUUCAUACAGUCACCUUGUAAAGACUUCUGAAUUGGUAGUUAUUUAUUAAUUGAAUCAAUGAUGCUGGCCAUUUUUGUUAACUGGAGCACCAAAUAAGUAUUUUUAUAACUUAAAUUAUUUGUUAUUUAAAAAAUCUGCAAAUAAUAAUAGUUAAUUUACAGGUAAAUCCUUCAAACUGAAGUCAUUACAUAUAGUCAUUAAAAAUUCCAUGUGCUCCAAGACAAUUGAUGUGGAAGCACUGAGAAGAGACAGGUGUUACCAAGGUUCUUCCAAUUUCAAGGCCCUGCCCCUCAAAAUUCCCUCUCCAAGGAUCAACCUGUAACAUGGUCAUUUGGAGGGUCAUGAUGUGUCCCGAUUUGCCAAAGGCAGUCCUCACAUUUGUCAGGUUGGAUAAUCAUUCCUGCAGUCAAACUUCCUUCAAGGCCCUGCAUUACCUUUCUCUUGUUAUCAGCCCCAAUGGCUUGUUUUUAACUCCUGGAAAGGAGCUCCUUUAGUAGUUCGGGUCAUUAUUUAUACCCUGCAUGUCUAGCACAAGGCCUAAUCUACAGGAAAUACUUGUUGAAUGACUGAGAGAGUGAACUGCAUUGACCAACAAUAAUAGUGCACCAGUCAUAGUACUCUGAAUAGAGGAUUAAGAUUAUACAUAAGUGAAAAGUCAAAAAGAUUGGCCCUGGGUACUUCCUGAACUUACUUCCAUCCCCCUAUGACCCAGAAGUAGCAGGUGAGACUCCCUCUUCUUUCUGCUGAGAAUCACCCUCAGGCACAUAAACAUCAUGUCCAUCUCUUCCUCUCUCCAAAGUACUUUCUCAGAUAGAUCUAAACAAUUAGAUCUCAAGUUUUAAGGGGGUUGGAAAUCUAAGAUUAUAGACAUUUGUAGAAUAGAUCACAUGUCAUAGGUAAUACCUCAAAUGAUGAGUGAUGGGAGUGUAUGUUAAGAUAGCACAAAUUCGGCCUAGAACAAUAGUGACCCAAAUAUCAGGCAGUUCUGAUUCUAUUCUAAAUGUAGUC